AGUUUCCCAGGCCCCAGUUGAGGUCUUCUACUUAGUAUGCUUUCUUACGUGGUGGCCUGAACCGCGAAGGUGUUUUGCUUUCACGAGAAACGCCAGGGGGUGGAGGAGUGUGUAGUGGUAUUUCCGGUGGGGUGAACACGUCUGCGCUUCGCGGUUGCCAUAGAAACCUGACGUCAAUAUGGCGACCGUGACGACAUUUCUAUAGAGACACAUGUAGCCUGGAGAAAAGAGCAGGUCUCGUCCUUAGGUGUUUGGGACUCAGCUGAGGGUGUGGGUCCCCGCGGUGGGGGCUGAGCCUCCUCGGGGUGUAGGGAGACAAAGGGACCCAGAUCCAAGUCGCCUCUUUCCUGCUUUAGGAUUCGGUGCCUUGGCUGUCUGCUAGUGGACCGUCAGAGAAGGGUGUGGACUCUGAGCCUCAGAAACAGGAGCUGAUACAGAAGAACCAAGUGUGAUAUUGAAUCUGCUAGACAGGUUCCUGGAGCAAGAGUGAAGAGAUCACGGUCCCAUCAAUGGGACACUUUAGACCUCUAAUGGACAACUAAGGGACUAAGAAGUGGAGACAAGGACUGGGGAUUUGGAAUGAAAGCCUUGAUACCAAUCCCAGGUUUCCCACUGAAGGAGCUUAGAAAAGGCUGCAGUAGCUUAGAAAAGAACUUCACAGCUCUGAUCCUCAGAGAAUGGAGAUGAUAUUUCCACAUUCCAGAUGACUGUGGUGAAGUGGAUGAGGGAACCCACAUCAAGCACACUCUCAGAAUCCUCAGGUUCCUGACAAGGCGGAUACCUGGUAAACAGCCCCUGCUUUGGAGGCAUACAUCAAAGGAUUCUUAUAAACAUAUUUCUGAUAGUAAUAUUGAUUAUGAUAAAUAUUUAGGUCAAGUUUAAGUUAAUUUUUAAUUGAUUAAAACUUAAUAAUAUCAGUAUCAAUUGAUAGUCAUUCUUCCCAAUUUGCCAAAUCCAUGGUCGUUAAGAUUUACCCCUAUGUAUUUUUUCUAAUAGUUUUAUUGUUUUAGCUCUUGUAUUUAGGUUUUUGAUCCAUUUUGAGUUAAUUUUUGUAUAUGGUUCAAGGUAAGGGUCCAACUUCAUUAUUUUGCCUGUGG
rnacentral:lncRNA from 1 species